rnacentral:rRNA from 1 species
GAUGGACGCUGGCGGCGUGCCCAAUACAUGCAAGUCGAGCGAACGGACGAGAAGCUUGCUUCUCUGAUGUUAGCGGCGGACGGGUGAGUAACACGUGGAUAACCUACCUAUAAGACUGGGAUAACUUCGGGAAACCGGAGCUAAUACUGGAUAAUAUUUUGAACCGCAUGGUUCAAAAGUGAAAGACGGUCUUGCUGUCACUUAUAGAUGGAUCCGCGCUGCAUUAGCUAGUUGGUAAGGUAACGGCUUACCAAGGCAACGAUGCAUAGCCGACCUGAGAGGGUGAUCGGCCACACUGGAACUGAGACACGGUCCAGACUCCUACGGGAGGCAGCAGUAGGGAAUCUUCCGCAAUGGGCGAAAGCCUGACGGAGCAACGCCGCGUGAGUGAUGAAGGUCUUCGGAUCGUAAAACUCUGUUAUUAGGGAAGAACAUAUGUGUAAGUAACUGUGCACAUCUUGACGGUACCUAAUCAGAAAGCCACGGCUAACUACGUG